rnacentral:rRNA from 1 species
AUUGAACGCUGGCGGCAUGCUUUACACAUGCAAGUCGAACGGUAACAGGCCUUCGGUUCCCGACGAGCGGUGGACGGGUGAGUAAUGCAUCCGCAUGUAUCCAGUAGCUGUGGGUAAGGCAUCAAAACCUGUGCUCAUAGCUCAUGUGAGCUAAGGUUGUGAACCGGGGACUUCGCAACAAUAUUUCGCCUUUCGCGUUUGGAAUGGCCGGUGUCGGAUUAGCUAGUUGGUUGGGUAAAGGCUUACCAAGGCGACGAUCCGUAGCUGAGCUGAGAGGACGAUCAGCCACACUGGAACUGAGACACGGCCCAGACUCCUACGGGAGGCAGCAGUAGGGAAUUUUGCACAAUGGGCGAAAGCCUGACGCAGCAAUGCCGCGUGAGGGAAGAAGGCCUUCGGAUCGUAAACCGCUUUUGGCAGGGACGAACAGGUGUGUGCUAAAACCUGGAGCUAUUGACGGUACCUGAAGAGAAAGCAACGGCUAACUACGUG